CAGAAUUUUGGGAGUUGUAGUCCCAACACAUCUGGAAAGCAGCAGAUUGGGAAAAGCUGUCUUUGACGAUGUCUCUUCCAUCUGAAGCAUACUUGAUCUUCAUCUCCCCAUGGCAUGUAGCUGUCAAGAUCAACAAUGGCAUUUAUCCCUUUGAUCUUCUAGUUGUGUUGGGAAAGCCCCGUUAGCUUGGAAUGGAUCAGGCACAAUUUUCUACACUUCAGCUCAAGGCACUGAACACAUCCUUUCUCCUCCUACUUUCCCCACAACAACCCUCAGAGUAGGCAAAGACCAGAAGACAGCCAUUGUGAUAGAUGUGUUGGUGCCAAGUGACAGCAACAUCAGGAAGAAGGAGUAUGAGAAACUGGAGAAGUAUCAUGGCUUGAAGGAGGAAGAAGAGAAGUUGUGGAAAGUAAAUAGUUCCAGUAACUCGGGACUGUGACUCUUAAACUGGAAUAGUGAUUCCAACAGAUCCUAGGAACAAUAUCAGAGUUCUGUGUCCAGAAAAGGAUCCAAGAUUGCGGAAGACCAGCCAUAAGGUUGAAGACCAACCAUAAAGUUGAGAAGGGAAUAUUUUUAUAUAUGUUUUUGUUAUGGCCAUUGUAAAUGUCAAUGGGGAAAAUAAAUGUACCAGUUUUAAUGCCA